CUUCUCGACUUCUCGACCGCCUGCAAUGCUGCUCCACCGCCUCUUCCAAAAAUAAUUAUUAUUACUCAAUCUUUGCCCUAAAUCUUUUCCGCCUCAUAGAAGCUCGGUUUCAAAGCUAGGAUUCAGGAUAAAAAUCUUCUGCUUAUAGUUUGAUGCGGCCUUGCUGCUAAACCCUUCGGAGUUCCAAUCAUGGCGGUCGGGGAGACGCUCCUUACCAGAACGUAGGGAACCAAGAAACGACUGAUAUUAGACAUGGGCAGGCAUAGGAUGGAAGGGAUAGAUAUUUGAUUCGGCCACAAUAAAGAAAGUAAUUUCCUCUACAUUAGGGACCAAAUUGGUAAGAGGUUUGGCUGGUUGGCUACAGACAUAUUGACUGUGCAAAGAUAUAUGACAAUGAGAAGGAAGCCAGUAUAGUUUCAUAUCUGAACUUCGGGAUUUGAACAUCAUGUCAACCAUGUUCAAUUCACUUUCUUUACUGACAUUGUUGACAAUUCCUUGAUUUACUUAAUUUAGUCUCAAUUUAGUCUAUAA